AUCAGAAUUUCUCAAGAUCAAAACGAAACCUUCUCUUUAAAAAGGAAAGAAAGUACUAUCGAUACAGAAAGCAAAAGUAUUUCCAGUCUCCUACUGAACUGUCACGGCAGACCUCUCUGUAUCUAUAUUUAGAGCUGUAUGUCCAUAUAUUUGCCUGAAUGUGUGAGUUCUUGGAAGUAUGGAUUCAUUGCCAGGAGCUGGUGAUUUCCUAAGCAGAGGUCGCUAACUACAAGAAAUGUUACACUCGGACAAGUCCUGCGCUUGGGGAUCCUCUGUACGCCCGUUCACUGGUGCAGGUCUUCUGAACAAAUGCCUCCUGAGGAUUUCUGUGCCUGGAAAAUAUCUGUUAACAGACUGCUUUUACACCUACGUAAGUAGAGGCUUCUGCUUAUAAGUCAACCUCAAGGGAGUUUUAUUUUGUCCCUGGAUGAUUCCUCAGUACAUUUUUCUUUUUCUUUUUUGAGGUAGGGUUUUGCUCUGUUGCCCAGGCUGGAGUACAGUGGUGUGAUCACAACUCACUGCGGCCUCAACCUCCCAGGCUCAAGCGAUCCUCCCACCUCAGCCUCCCAAGUAGCUGG
rnacentral:lncRNA from 10 species